CCUACGGGAGGCAGCAGUUGGGAAUAUUGCGCAAUGGGCGAAAGCCUGACGCAGCAACGCCGCGUGUGCGAUGAAGGUCUUCGGAUCGUAAAGCACUUUCGGCCGGGACGCUGUACCGGAAGAAGAAGCACCGGCUAACUCUGUGCCAGCAGCCGCGGUAAUACAGAGGGUGCAAGCGUUGUUCGGAAUUAUUGGGCGUAAAGCGCGUGUAGGCGGCCUUGUAAGUCGAAUGUGAAAGCCCUCGGCUUAACCGAGGAAGUGCAUUCGAUACUGCAGGGCUUGAGUACCGGAGAGGAAGGUGGAACACCCGGUGUAGAGGUGAAAUUCGUAGAUAUCGGGUAGAACACCAGUGGCGAAGGCGACCUUCUGGACGGAACUGACGCUGAGACGCGAAAGCGUGGGGAGCAAACAGGAUUAGAUACCCUUGUAGUC
rnacentral:rRNA from 1 species